UGCAGUCGAACGAGAAAGUCACUUCGGUGGCAAGUACAGUGGCGCACGGGUGAGUAACACUUAGGUAACCUACCCUUCUGCUGGGGACAACUGGUGGAAACUCCAGCUAAUACCGAAUAUACCCAUUUUUUCUGCGGAUUAAAUGGGGAAAGCCGUAAGGCGCGGAAGGAGGGGCCUGAGUCCCAUUAGCUUGUUGGUGGGGUAAAAGCCUACCAAGGCUACGAUGGGUAGCUGGUCUGAGAGGAUGAUCAGUCACACUGGUACUGGAACACGGACCAGACUCCUACGGGAGGCAGCAGCUGGGAAUUUUGCGCAAUGGGGGAAACCCUGACGCAGUGACGCCGCGUGGGUGAGGAAGGCCUUCGGGUUGUAAAGCCCUUUUAGCAGGGAAGAAAAAAAUGACGGUACCUGCAGAAAAAGCACCGGCUAACUCCGUGCCAGCAGCCGCGGUAAUACGGAGGGUGCGAGCGUUAUUCGGAUUUACUGGGCGUAAAGCGCGCGUAGGCGGUUGGGUAAGUCUGAUGUGAAAGCCCAUGACUCAAUCAUGGAAGUGCAUUGGAUACUGCUCGGCUAGAGUACAGGAGGGGGGAACGGAAUUCCAGGUGUAGAGGUGAAAUUCGUAGAUAUCUGGAGGAACAACAGUGGCGAANGCGGUUCCCUGGACUGUUACUGACGCUGAGGCGCGAAAGCGUGGGGAGCGAACAGGAUUAGAUACCCUGGUAGUCCACGUCGUANACNAUGGACACUANGUGUCGGGAGACUUNNCCUCUCNGUGCCGUANNUNANNCGUUAAGUGUCNCGCCUGGGGAUUA
rnacentral:rRNA from 1 species